UUCGAAUUGAUUAAAUGCGCUAGUCUAGGGUUUCUUCUUCAGGUAAGGAAAUCGCAAACCAACCAAUUAUUCAAGUCCAGUUUACAUAAGUUUAAACUCGGAUCACUCAGGUUGAAACAACCCACUGUCGUGGUGUUGAUUCCUUUGCAGAUCGGUCUUGAUACCUAAACUCUCGUUUGGAUCAAGACGCGAUAGCAAGCUUUAGAGAUCAAGUCUGAUGUGUUCAUAAUACACCCUAAUAUCUACUCUCGCUGACUAGGGAUGCAAAGCUCAUUCAAAUCAUAUCAAGUUAUCAACUAACGGUUAGCUAAAUUGAUUAACCCUAAUUCAUGCACUAAGUGAUCAGUUCAAUGCAAGCAAUAAGAACUGAAUGUAGACAAUAUUAAGAUGACUUAUUUAUGCUUCAGCUCACGAAUCCAAAACUCUAGAACCCUAAACUAACUCGGUGACUACUCAGACAUAACACAAGAACAGAAAAGCAUGAUUUCUGAAUAAUACUGCAUAUAAUAGAUAAUAGAAAUC
rnacentral:lncRNA from 1 species